UACAGAGGUCUCAAGCGUUGUUCGGAUUUAUUGGGCGUAAAGAGCUCGUAGGCGGUUCGGUAAAGUCGGGUGUGAAACCUCCAGGCUCAACCUGGAGAUGCCACCUGAUACUGCUGUGACUCGAGUCCGGUAGGGGAGCGUGGAAUUCCUGGUGUAGCGGUGAAAUGCGCAGAUAUCAGGAGGAACACCAGCGGCGAAGGCGGCGCUCUGGGCCGGAACUGACGCUGAGGAGCGAAAGCGUGGGUAGCAAACAGG
rnacentral:rRNA from 1 species